rnacentral:ncRNA from 2 species
CAUAUACUUUAGGGGUGUCUGUAGUAACAGGCUGAGAUUUUACCCUUGGAACCUGAUCUAGUUCAUACUAGCGUAGGGAAAAGUAGGACCACUUCU